rnacentral:lncRNA from 1 species
UGGCGGGGACCCUGGGCCAGCCCCGCGCCUCCGUGGCCCGGGCGUCUCGUGCGUGUCCGCGAACUCGCGUGCGCGCGUCACCUCGGACCGCAGCAUGGCUCGGAGGGCGGCCCUACUCGCGCCGCCCUAGUGCUGCGAAGGGCCUCGGAGCCCAAACCCGGAACCGCCAUCUGGGACUGGGAAGACGACAUGGCCAGAAGCCGACUGGACAGCCGGCACCACCCCAUGAUUCAAGGAUGGCCAUAGCCCAGUGCAGGAGCAGAUUUGCUUCCAGUUUGCCCUUCCUCCUAGCUGAACUCCAGGCUCCAGCCCAGAGAAGCAAGAAAAGAGCAAACAGAAGUUAUUCACAUGUGCAUCAGGUAU